rnacentral:misc_RNA from 1 species
AACUUUCAGCAACGGAUCACUUGGCUCUCGCAUCGAUGAAGAACGCAGCGUAAUGCGAUAAGUAAUGUGAAUUGCAGAUUUCAGUGAAUCAUCGAAUCUUUGAACGCACCUUGCGCUCCUUGGUAUUCUGAGGAGCAUGCCUGUUUGAGUGUCAUGAAAUUCUCAACUGCUUUAGCUUUUGUGGUUGAAGUAAAGUUGGAUUUGGAGGAAUAAUUGCUGGCGUAACCUUUUAAGGUUGCUUGUUAGCUCCUCUUAAAUGGAUGAACUUUCCAGUAGUGUAAAAGUAACACCAAUGUGAUAAUUAUCUACGUUGGAUAAGCUUGUACAAGGAAAGAUGAAAUCUGUCUUGGAGGGAAAACCCCCCUUGACGAAACAAAUGACAAAUUUGACCUCAAAUCAGGUAGGACUACCCGCUGAACUUAAGCAUAUCAAUAAGCGGAGGCU